CGGGAGCCUGGGAAGGCUGCAGAGCUAGAGCAGCGCCGCCCGAGGGGCCGCAGGGGCUGACCACAGAGAGCGCGGGGGCCUCCAGCCAAGAGGAAGGGAGGGCAGCUCGGGCCGAAGUCGUUGGCUUCGUAAGAGCAGGGUCUGUGGGAAGCCGCCUCAGCGUGGGUUCUUGGAAGAGGUGGAGUUUGGAGAGGCUUAUGCGGUACCUGAUUCAUCCAGCAAAUUAAGACCUGCCAACUUUUUGAUAAUCUCGUCAAUAAAUUACAGAACAAUUGUUCCUUUCAAGAUUUAUUCAAAACGUGUCAACUCUGCUUAAUUAAGCACUUUGAUGAUUUAAGAAAUCUUGGAAAUCCUUUUGUACUAUUGCUCAUUCAUACUUGUUCAUCAAAGCCUGGAGUCCUUAAGGACAGAAUUUACCUCUAAACAGAAAGAUGGAAACUAAAGUACAUUUAUUCUGCCAGAUUUGAAACAUCAAUAAUCCUUUGUGGAGAAGAAAAGUCCUCUGAUUUUUCAGGAGAAAAAAAAGUUGGGAGAAAGAGUUUACAAGUACAACAGCACAGUAAAAGAA
rnacentral:sRNA from 1 species